rnacentral:rRNA from 1 species
GCCGCGGUAAUUCCAGCUCCAAUAGCGUAUAUUAACGUUGUUGCAGUUAAAAAGCUCGUAGUUGAAGUGAGGGAGUGUGUGUUGUGAUCGAAUCGAUCGAGAGCAGUACAAGCUCCCCCUUCCAAUGGGUGUAUUGGGGUAUUCAUUUACUUCAUUACUCCUUUGGUCGUUUACUGUGAGAAAAUUAGAGUGUUCAAAGCGGGCGUUUGUUUGAAUAGAUUAGCAUGGAAUAAUGAUUGAAGGCUUUCGUGUUCGAUUUGAUUGGUUUGUUCAUGGAAGCAAGGUUAAAAGGAACAGUUGGGGGUAUUCAUAUUCACUAGUUAGAGGUGAAAUUCUCGGAUUUAUGGAAGAUGAACAGGUGCGAAAGCAUUUACCAAGGAUGUUUUCAUUAAUCAAGGACGAAGG